UACGUAGGGGGCUAGCGUUGUCCGGAAUUAUUGGGCGUAAAGAGCUCGUAGGCGGUUUGUCACGUCUGCUGUGAAAUCCCGAGGCUCAACCUCGGGCCUGCAGUGGGUACGGGCAGACUGGAGUGCGGUAGGGGAGAAUGGAAUUCCUGGUGUAGCGGUGGAAUGCGCAGAUAUCAGGAGGAACACCGAUGGCGAAGGCAGUUCUCUGGGCCGUAACUGACGCUGAGGAGCGAAAGCGUGGGGAGCGAACAGG
rnacentral:rRNA from 1 species